CUUCUAAACCCUUAAUUUUUCCCCAAUUGCUUCCUCCCAUCCGUGUUUCUCCCCUAAAUUUUCUCCAUUCCUCCUGUGCGCGUUUCUUCCCAUUUCAGCCAUCUUAAGUCUCGUCGUCACCACUUCCCCCCUCGUGCCCGUCCGUCCAAACCUCCUCCUCAUCGUCACCAACACCCCGUCGCCACCACCCCCAUCUUCUCCAAACCUUCGCAAUCAACUUGAAGCUUCAAAUCGUGGACAUGAGUCGUCACCCCUCCGCCGGUGGAGCCACCAUAUUGUUGAUGCCACCAUGUUGCUGAUUGAUUUAGGAGAAUUGUGAUUUAAAAUUAUCCUUAUUUCUAAUGCCACCAUGUUGCUGGACUAAAAGAAACAUAAUAAAUCAUUGGUUUAUGUAAGAUAAAUCAUUUGUUGGACUAAGGAUUUUGCUCGGACCCUCUUCAUCUACUAGACAUUGGGCAAACUGAUUCGCCUAGGUUUGGUCAUCUUGGCUACCGAAUAUAGAGGGGAUUUGAAGUAUAAAGAUUACAUGAGAUUGAGUGAUUUAGUAUUUCCCUUGUACAGGUUUUGAGUGAACUCAAGUUUAUGGUAGAUUGGGGUACAUUAAAGUUUAUUGAACGUAUUCAUCAUUGUCCCAUUGCAUAAUGUCCUAUAUAAGAUUCUGAUUUCUCAACGGAUUAGUUUAAAUCAUUCCUCACAUUUUAUAUUUGAUUCUUUAAUUGUAAUAUUGUCACUUUAAUACUUUGCUUUAGCAGUUUGUAGUCAUGAAAGUACCACCUUAUUUUGUCAAAGGUGUCUA